rnacentral:rRNA from 1 species
CGGUAAUUCCAGCUCCAAUAGCGUAUAUUAAAGUUGUUGCAGUUAAAAAGCUCGUAGUCUGAGUCUUGGCUGGCGCUGAGCGUCCGUGGGCCUUGUGGCUCGCGCGCAUGCGACAUUGUGCUGGCCAUUGUACUUCGGAGGAGCGUGCGUGCUUUUCACUAAGUGCGCGCGGGAUUCCGAUAGUUUACUUUGAGAAAAAUAGAGUGUUCAAAGCAGGCGUUUUUGCCUUGAAUACAUUAGCAUGGGAUAAUGGAAUAGGACAUUGGUUCUAUUUUGUUGGUUUACGGACCGAUGUAAUGAUUAACAGGAACAGUUGGGGACAUUUAUAUUCCAUGGCUAGAGGUGAAAUUCUUGGAUUCAUGGAAGAUAAACUACUGCGAAAGCAUUUGUCAAAGAUGUUUUCAUUGAUCAAGAACGAAAGUUAGGGGAGCAAAGACGAUCAGAUACCGUCGUAGUCUUAACCAUAAACGAUGCCGACUAGGGAUCGGUGGGCGUUAGUUUUAUGACUCCAUCGGCACCUCAUGGGAAACCAAUAAGUCUUUGGGUUCCGGGGGGAGUAUGGUCGCAAGGCUGAAACUUAAAGGAAUUGACGGAAGGGCACCACCAGGAGUGGAGCCUGCGGCUUAAUUUGACCCAACACGGGAAAACUCACCAGGUCCAGACAUGAGAAGGAUUGACAGAUUGAGAGCUCUUUCUUGAUUCCAUGAAAGGUGGCGCAUGGCCGUUCUUAGUUGGUGGAGUGAUUUGUCUGGUUAAUUCCGUUAACGAACGAGACCUUGACCUGCUAACUAGUCACCGCAAGCCUUGUGCUUGCGGGCUGUACUUCUUAGAGGGACAAUCUGUGUUUCCAGCAGAUGGAAGUGCGAGGCAAUAACAGGUCUGUGAUGCCCUUAGAUGUCCCGGGCUGCACGCGCGCUACACUGACGAACGCAACGAGUUUAUCACCUUGGCAGAGAUGUCUGGGUAAUCUUUUAAAAGUUCGUCGUGAUGGGGAUAGAUGAUUGUAAUUAUUCGUCUCGAACGAGGAAUUCCUAGUAAGUGUGAGUCAUCAGCUCGCGCUGAUUACGUCCCUGCCCUUUGUACACACCGCCCGUCGCUCCUACCGAUUGAAUGGUCCGGUGAGAACGUCGGAUUUUGCGCUUGAUACUGGGCACAUGACUGGCGAGAGGAGAAGGGUCAACUUACAGUCAGGAGGAAAGGUUAACAGGAGAUACCGAAAUCACUAUAGUCGUCGCGCUGUUCU